rnacentral:rRNA from 1 species
GACGAACGCUGGCGGCGUGCUUAACACAUGCAAGUCGAACGCAGUGGGAACGGGUGAGUAAUACGUGAGUAACCUCCCUUGACUCUGGGAUAAGCCUGGGAAACUGGGUCUAAACUGGAUAGAUGGGCUCACGGCCUAUCAGCUUGUUGGUGGGGUAAUGGCUCACCAAGGCGCCGACGGGUAGCCGGCCUGAGAGGGUGACCGGCCACACUGGGACUGAGACACGGCCCAGACUCCUACGGGAGGCAGCAGUGGGGAAUCUUCGGCAAUGGACGGAAGUCUGACCGAGCAACGCCGCGUGAGUGAAGAAGGUUUUCGGAUCGUAAAGCUCUGUUGUUAGAGAAGCGGUAACUAACCAGAAAGGGACGGCUAACUACGUGCCAGCAGCCGCGGUAAUUC